rnacentral:tRNA from 1 species
GUGGGGAUAGCUCAGUUGGGAGAGCGUCAGAUUAAAGAUUUGAAGGUCGUGUGUUCGAUCCACAUUCAUUGCA